rnacentral:lncRNA from 1 species
AGAUAAAAAACGAGGCAGUGAGCUAAAAAGUAGCAACAAAGGAGGUGGAAGGGACAGGACUGAACUGAGGUUUGAACUGUUCAGGAGCAGGAAUGGUUAGGACUUGGGGGUUGAUUGGAGUGUUUUCUUUCUGUUAACUUAGGAUAUAUAGCUUUCUCCAGUUGUCUGCAGUUAAUUUCUAAUUUUUUAAACUUUUGGCUUCAAAGUAGUUAUCCUGCCCCUUAGACUAUUGAGAAAGGUGAGAUGGGCAGACCUGGAAGAAAAGAAGGAUGCAGAUAGGAAAAGGGCCAUAGGUUUUGUGGUCGGACAGACUGAUUGGGAGAAGAUCACAGAUGAAAGUGGUCACCUGGCUGAAAAAGCCCUCAAUCGAACCAAAUAUAUAUGAGACUUAGUUUUUGAAUGGAGUCAUUAUUCCUCUAAGGCGGUUCCCCGUGAGGUGAUCUGAAGCCAAGGCCUCAUGGAGCUUCGUUGUGUGUCACCUUGCCUCCACGUUUCAGUUUUUGUUUUGUUUCUACUGCUUUAGUUUUUUUAAAGUUCUCCAGUGUCCCCAAGAGGUAUUAGAAUCUUGCUCUACCCAAGCAAGACAUUAAUUUUCUUUUUAACUACUUUUGGGGAGGGAGGGAGUGAUAGCAUAACUGCUGAAGCCAGGUGGAGGUCUGCUGGAGGACUCCAACAGACAGCGUUUCCUCCACUGUACAGUGUCACAGACUAUCUCUAUCAUCAUUGCUUCGUGGCUGUUUUUGUUUUUUACUGUAUGUAACUGGUAGUUGAUUGUACUAGGAUUAAAAAAAAAAUAAACUUUCUUGAUAAAGCCGA